GGUGUGAAUAUAUUUUGAAUACAAUCAGAGAUAUGAAAAAUUGUACUCUAUAUGUAUAAUAAGAAUUAUAAUGCAUUCUUCUGUCAUAUAUAUAUAUAUAAAAAUUCUGGAAUUUAAUUGGUGCUGUUUACAAUCUUUUAAUUCAGACACUGAAGGCCUUUAUCAUCUGAAUAGUACUCUGAGAUUUCAUUUUGUUCUUUUCUAGAAUUUUGGCACAUUCUCAAUCUUCCUAAUGAUUCCUUCUCUGGAAACUAGGCAUGGAGAGUGAUGGAGAUGCUCUUCCUUACUGGUGUGGCAGAGAGAAGCUUGACACUGCUGAGAGAUAUAAUUGCCUAAGUCCCACUGAGUCUGUAGCUGUGGGCCUGGUGAGCUUUACUCUGAAAGGAGGAUGGGGAGUAUCUCACAGUGAGAGGGCCCAGUGUCUGCAUUAUUCACUCUAUGCAUGCUACACAACCAUUCUAAUCACAUGUAUAUACUUUACCUGGGUGUGUCCUCCCUGCAUUGCUCUGACCACUCUAAACUGAAUGGGGUGCAACAUACAUAACCUUGGGCAGCCUCUGCAAAUUUCUAGGUUUCUGUACUCAAACAUGUUAAAUGCUACAAUCCAUAUUUAGACAGUUGUUCUUUCUUUUCCCUGCCAUAGCUUUUCAUGACUACCUUCUUCCCAAUCCAUUGAAUCACCUUUGAAGGUUAAAUGAUUCUAUGGUUGAAUUAAAUUGAUAUGCUGUUCACCAGUUCACCAUUUUUUGUAGUCUAAGUAUAUUCAUUUAGUCUGACUGCACAUUUGUCUGGCAGAAAGUAUUGGGCACAAUGUUCCCUGAUAGAGGUUGGAAGCUAAUACAAUGACCAUAGUACCCAUUCUAGAAGAGUACUACAUUAGCUAAUUUAAUAUGCAAUAUAUAACUGAACCCUACUGUGCCUCAUAGACCAAUGAACAUGUAUGCUUCUAUACCUCUCCUCUUUCAUUGUUUUUAUUCCUACAGGUCAACAAGGACAAAGUACUGGGCCUUACAUUAAAAUCCAUUCUUUCACCAUGAGAUGUGAAAUAAAGAAAUUUGUGGGAAAUGAUUUCUGCCAUCCUGUCUUUGGGGGCCAGUGGGAAUUCUCAUGUUAGUGAUAUUUUAUCCAUGAAAUAUUGAUAUUAUAUGAUUUUUGUAGGUAUUAUGUAAUACCCCACAGGACACUGUACUGGGCAGCAAUGGAAUCUGGGUCACUGAUGAUUGUGUGUUUGUGUGUGUGUGUGUGUGUGUGUGUGUGUGUGAGAGAGAGACACAGAGAGAGGGUGAGCAAGAGAGAAAGGGAGAGACAUCUAUAGAUAUAAGAUACAUACUGGAUAUAGAUAUAUUGAAACACUCUAUCCAACAAUAGCAGAAUACAAUUUAUUUUCAAGCAUACCUGAACAUUCUCCAAGAUAGAUUAGAUGUUAAGCCAUAAAACUAUACUCAAUAAGCUUUUAAAAGGACUGAAAUAAUGUAGAGUAUGUUCUAUGACCACAGAGAAAUUAGAAAUAAAAAUCAAGUUGAAAAUUGCCAAAUAUUUGGAAAUAAACACACCAUAUAGAACCCAUGAGUAAAAUAAAAUAUGUUAAAAGAAAGUAUAAAACAUUUUGUGCUGAGUGUGAUAUAAUUAAAGAAAUGCUCAGAUGGAAGCAUACAGUGAUUAUAUCAGAAAAGAGAAAGAUAAAUAAGCUUCUACCUUGGGAAAUAAGAAAAAUGCUAAAUGAGAAAAUACAACCCAAAGUGCACAGGAGGAAGUAAAUAAUAUAGAUCUGAGCAAAAAUUGUUGAUAUGAAGAAAGAAAAAAUAUACAAAAAAAUCCAUAAAAUUAAACAUGAGUGAAAUUGAUAAAAUUUAUAUAGACUGAUACAAAUCACUAAAAUUAGUUUUG
rnacentral:lncRNA from 1 species